UUUUGUGUACUUCAGUGACAGAGCAAGUGUUUAGCUUGCACAGGGCCCUGGGUUCAAUCCCCAGCUCCAAAA
rnacentral:tRNA from 1 species